CUCACCUUCCGGUCUAAACUGUUGUCGUCGCAGCCGCGUUCAGCCGUCGCCAUCGUGCCGGCCGCUUGAGACAGUGAGUUGAGAUUCCACUUUUUAAUUUUUUUUCAUAAAAUUUUUGCCUGAAUUUGAUUAGUCAAAUACUCAAAUUAAUUGCGUUGUGAGUAAUACUGUAAUGAUUUAAUUUGCCCUGCAUCCCCUGCAGAAGGUAAGCAACUCCAUUUUUAGGGUUCGUGUAGUAGUGUCUUGACUGAAUCGCCUUAGUAAUCAUAAGGUCAGUUUUCUCAAGAAGGGCAACUUCGAUCUUUUGGCAUUUUCAGUGCUGCUUCUGAAUCUCUGUUUACUGUAGCCUGCUUCUACAUGUGAUUUGAGGGCCAAGAAUUUAUCUCAAGGGAAAAUCACAUUAUGUUUCAAUUCUCUGUUUGACCCUUUUAACUUUUGAAUAUCAACAUUAUAUGUUUAGUGUUCCGUCAAUUGUUUUAUCAAAUACAUAGACCUUUGGGCUUUAGACACUAGUGUUCAAAAUUAGCAUCUAGUUUUUAUGGUAUCUUUGAGCAGGGGUUUCGCUUCAUUUGGUUGAAUAAAAGAUCAGUUUUCAUUGUCAUGGAUCAAAAAAAAAAAAAAAGGCCUUGGCCACUAGUACCUCAGGAGGUCAAAGCCAAGGCUUCCAAAGACAAUGUUCCCAUGAUCGAUGUGACUCAAUUUGGCUACUUUAAGGUUUUAGGUAAGGGCCUUUUGCUUGAGAACCAACUCGUUGUGGUGAAGGCCAAGCUUGUUUCCAAAAUAGCCAAGAAGAAACUUAAAAAAUCUGGUGGGUCUGUCGUGUUUACUGCUUGGGUUUAGUGUUAUUGCUUUUAUAAUUUUUUUUCUGUUAUUUUGGUUUCAGCUUUUGAGGAUUUGACUAUAUAGUUUUGGAUAUUUAUGUUAUCAUCGGAAACUUUUUGUUUUAUAUUAAGGCAUGUUAUUGAUUAAGAAGAAGAAGAAGAAGAAGAAGAAGAAGAAGAAGAAGAAUAUUUUGCAGAAAAUGUUUUAGUUUCUUUCUUCCAUUCGGCAUUUGUAGUAUUUAUUUGAUUCGAUUUCUGUCAUGGUGUGUUGAUUAUGCGGAUGAUAAGAUACUACCUUGCUCCUUUACUUAUGUUUGAUUCCUUAUACUAGAAACAUACCUCUAGUAGAGUUGCCAUUUAUCUACUUUAUUGUUGUAAAAUCUGUUAUAAAAUGUAUAAGCAAUCAUUCAUUUGAACUCUCUUUAUAUGCUUAAAAUCUGAAUUCAUGUACAAGGUGUUAGUGUCAAUGUUGUUGAUCAUUUCAAUAAGUAGUGCCAAUUUAUAAUGACCUUGGUGCAUUUCUAUUCAGUCAGUAAACUUUUGUCAUUUAAGUUGUUUAUUUGUUUAACAAAUGUAUAACUAGUUUCUACAAAUUUACUUUGUGUAUAAUAGAUGAUUCAAAAUCUUGGCAUAGAGGAAAGUGAAGUUUCUGAGGUAAAUAAGGUACUUUACAAAAACUAUACCACAUCAAUGGUUGGUCUAAGAUACAAUAUAUAUGUAAGUUUAAAUGCACUAUUAUUUAUAUACAUAUCCUUGCCAAAAAAAAAAAAAACCAAUAAAAGCAGUUUCAUAAACUGAUGUAAAUGUUGUUAUUAUUGUUAAUUUGCAGGCUAUCAGCUAUGAUGUCGACAAUGGUGACUAUCAUAGGUAACAUUAUUUUCCUUUCUAAUUCAUCUGAAAGUGUUAAUUUGCAGGGGCUGUUUCUACUACAGAAUAGCAACAAGACAGCCCCUGUAGAUUUCUAGUGGUUGUUUUCACUGCACAACAGCCCCUACAGAUUUCCGGGGGAUGUUUUGUUGCUAUUCUAAAGUCAAAAAAACUCGUAUAAUUUUUUUGGGCUAUUUUGCAAUGAAAAUACUUUUGAGGUUUGUUGAGGAAGGAGGGGAAUGAGAGCGGUAGUUUUUUAGAAGGCUUGAUGAGAGUUUCAUAAAUUUGACAAGUUUUAUGAGAUUAAAGUGAAAGAAGUUUAUGCUAAGGCUGAAAGUUUGAGUGGGUAAAUGGAUGUUUUGAUUGCAGAUUUCUGUUGUUUGAUUAUAAAAAAUAGGAAGGUUUUAAUUAGAUUGACUUAGAUGUUUUGUUUUCUGUGACUUGUAGCAGGUUAUCCAACAUGGCUUCUUUAGACAACUUAAGCUAAGGUUCUUUAUUUCUAUAACUUUCAGUAUUAUUGUAAUAUUAUUUCUUAUUAUUUUAUUAGUUGUUGAAACAUCCUUCAAUUGCUUUGUUUAACUACUCGCAAUCAAUUUGUUUUCCAUAAUCUAUUUCCAUACUAAUUGAUUUUAAUUAUGUUGUUGUAGGUGGGGAAAAAAUGAAGCUGCAUAUGGAUAUUGAGUGAUGUUCUUGUGCUUCUUUUUGGUGGAAACUAAAUUAGUACUUUGUGGUUGUUGAAAACUUAAUUUAGUACUUAUAUUUUUCUUUUCCAGAUAGUGGUGUAGUUGAAUCAUGUGAAUUUGAGUGAUGUAUUUGGGAUGUUUAUUAUGUGAAUUAUAUUGUGACAUUUUAUAUAUUUGAUAUAUUUUGAGCUUUCUUUUAGUUGUAAAACAAACAGGAAAAAUA
rnacentral:lncRNA from 1 species